AAACUGUGUUAACUAAACAGGGGGCUUUACUCGGAUCCCACCAGUUUUUCCACGAGCGUCCUUUUCUGUUUGCAGCAUCCAGUCCGGGAUCCCAUGUUGCAUUUGAGCUCUUGUUGUUUUUAUUUGUUAACUAUCUUUUGGGGGGGGGGAUGGACAGGAAGCGGGCUGCGUCUGGUCUGGCCCCACUUAUUCUGAGGUCCCUGCGCUGACACCCCCGCCCCUCCCUUCCAGGUCCCUGGUUGGUGUCCCAGGUCAGGGCCCUGCAGCCAGGCUCAGGCCCAACACUGUUUGCUUUUCAGACCCCGGUUCCUUGUGGAUCUCGAGCAGGACCCGUGGGGGGUCUGCACGCUAGGGAGGCUUGGCGCGUGCCCUUGCCAGCUGCCAGGGGCUCCCCUUCCCAGUGGAGGCGGGUUAGUGAUAACAGGUCUCCUGGGCCUUUCCUUUUUUCUCUCUUUUUUCCUUCGGAUUUAACCCGGCCAGACCUUUGGGCUGAUGUUGACAUUAGUGAGAGUUUGGAUCUAGAACAUUCUCUGCCUUCAGAGAGAAGCGUGUCCGUAGGUCAUUUGCCUGCCNNNNNNNNNNNNNNNNNNNNNNNNNNNNNNNNNNNNNNNNNNNNNNNNNNNNNNNNNCUCCUGCCCCCCCCCCCCCCCCCCCCCCCCCCCCCGGUGCCACGGCGACCGUCCUUGCCUGCCCUCUUCCUCCUCCCAUCCCCCCCAGUUUCCUUCUUCCAUUCCUGUCUGUGACAGGCCAGUGAAGCUGUUGCCACGGAAACAGAAGCCCAGCAGAAGCUCCGCUCCGCUUUCCGGAUGCUUCUAACGAUGAUGACGCAGAUAAUGUUGAGUUCUAGAAUCAGCUGCGUCCCGGCCUGUGGCCUCCAGAGCCCCUUCAUUUUCCGAAGGCCACGUUGGUGCCCCGGCUCAUAAAUCUGUCCAGUGGGUGGUCAGUGUUGAUUUGGUACCUUAAUACACUUUCCUGUUGCUCCAGAAGACUGGCUGCAACCUGUGUAGAAAAUGCUCAGCUGAGUUUACUUCUAUUACUGAGGGAAAGCACCAGAGCAGAGUCAGUGGGCUGCCAGGUUCAGAGGGUAACUUUUGUUCCCCGUGGAGGCGGGGUCUACCCAUUUGUUGAAUUCCUGGGUGGAUGACGGAUGGCUUUUUUUUUUUCUUCCUUUUUUCAUUUUUAAAAGUUUGAAAUAUAGUUGAUUUACGGUGGGUCGAAUCGGAGCUGUAGCCGCUGGCCGACGCCACAGCCACAACAACGCGGGAUCCGAGCCGCGUCUGCAACCUACACCACAGCUCACGGCAACGCCGGAUCAUUAACCCACUGAGCAAGGGCAGGGACCGAACCCGCAACCUCAUGGCUAUUAGUUGGGUUCAUUAACCACUGAGCCAUGACGGGAGCUCCCCUCAGAGUCUUGCUUAAAACCCUCCAGACGCUCCACUCCGUGUUCAGGAGCCAGUCCAGUUCCUCUGUGUCCCCAAGGCCUUCUGGGACCUUCCUGUCCCUCUGCUGCUUCCGUGUAGUUUCUGCUCAGGACCUUUCCCAGGAGCACCCCUCCGCCCCCGGGCUGCGUGCCCCCUCCCAAUGUGUUCCCACUGCCCCUCACUGCACCUACCUGUCACCGUCUGUUACCUGCGAGGCAGGGGCGCGUGGCCUCACUCACUGUUGUGUCCCCGGCAUGAUCCCAGUGAGUGACGCACAGAAGGGGCUUUGUCAGUGUUUGUAGGGUGACACACGGGGCAGAGCGUCAGUGGCAGCCUGGCUGCCAUCGCGUGUUAAAGGGGGUGGCGGGGUGACGGCUGCCUGCCGGGGCCCCGGUCAUCUCUCCGUUAGGCCCUCCUAUCGCUUGUCCUCCCUCACCGCGGACAGAAAACAGCCUGCUUCACGGUACACGUUCAGGGGGUCCGGGCUGCUGCCACCGCGAGCAAAAUGGCCUCUGGAGAGAGGGCCGGGCUGGCGGGGCUGCCGUGAGGCCACGUGGAUGGACUUCCUCUCCUCCGCCCAGCACCCAGCCUGUGGUCCUGAUGGGGUCGCUGCGGCCAGAGGGCAGGGGAGGGGCUGGGGUCUGGCCUCCUGACUCCGGGUCCAGGGCUCCCCUCCUGCUCUUCCUCCAGGAGGGAGAGGUGGGCUGAGCAGGCAAGGGGACAGGCCUGUGGGCUGCCGUGGGCGUCCUCGCCCUGACCGCCAGCUGGUACUUGCUGCGACUCAGCUGACCCCUCACUGUGGUGCCCCUUGACCUGCGGUGGGAGGCAUCUCCCUUUCCUUCCCCAGCCUGGAGCCCCAGGGGGCGCCCACCAAGGCUCCUUCUCCCUCUUGAGCAAACACCGCGAGACUUGAGACUUGAGGGUCCCCCGAGGCCACGGGGAAGGUGGCCUGGCAGGUGGGGCUCCGGCUUGGGCGGGGUGGUUGGCGGGGAGUGCUCACUGGCGAGUGUGCGGGGACCACUGGCCCGGCCCCCUCAUCUGAGGUGGGGGUGGCACCUCUGUGAAGGGUGCUCAGGCCAGAGGGUGCCAGCCACGGGGCCCUUCCCGGGCCCACCCCCCUGUGGGGCCUGCCUGGAGCCACCCCCGGGAGGAGCCCUCUUGCUUCCUCUUUCCUCAGGUGGACGUUGGUCUGUUUUGAUCUGACAUGUCUUUCCUGGGCACUGCACCUUAGUUUAUUCUGCUUUGAAUGUAACUUUAAUUUAGUUGCACAUUCAUAUUUAAAAUCUCAUAUGUAUUAAUUUCACGAUAUUGGUUUGUUUUUCUUCCCCCCCUUCACGAAGCAAUAUUCUUGCGCUUUCUCUUGCGUCUCUGGCACCCGAGUCGUCACCAUCCCUCGGGCCGCUCUGAGUCAUCUAAUAGAGUUUUCCAGAGCGUGUCAGCUUCACUUCCGUCUAAGUCAUUUCAGAUCCCGCACUUAUUGAAUCAGUGAAUGAUGCUGUCACUGGAAACUUUUUACGGAGCCGCAGGUACUCAUUUGUAAAACUCUUGGACACUUUGUUUUUCUAGGUGGCACUUUGUAUUUUUCCCCCAGGCUUUGACCUGGGGCUGCAGAGCAGGGCUGUCCCCCCUCUCUGCUGGCAGCCAGCCCUCUGCUCUGUUGGAGGGGUCCCCACCUUCUAGAGCUCUGACCUCCAGCUUGUCAGGAGCUCCUCCUCUUGUUGGGGACAAGGCAGGUGUGGGGGCAGAGGGAAGGGGGCCCUCGUGUCCUUCCCUGGCCUGGGGCUCACAGGAGCCCUACCUGCUGGCAGGUGAGCAGGACCCAGAGUGAGAGGCCAGGGAAGGACCCGUCCCCUCCGGUGUCAGGGCUCGAUGGUUCAGGAUGCAGGCCUGGCCCCUCACGGCAGCAUCCCCUCCCUGCGUAGCUGUCAACAUGCUUUAUUAAACAAAGUCUUAGCGGCGCGGGGUGGCCUGGGCGACCCACACGUGCAGCUUCAAGAGCCUCAGAAGACCAAGGCUUCCACCCACUGACCUAUGUGAAGUGCCGGUCUUGGUCUGCUCGGGCGGCCGUAACGAAACACCGCGGGCUGGGUGCCUCGCCCAGCGGACUUUGAUUUUCUCACAGCUCCGGAGACGAGGAGGCCAUGAUCAAGGCGCCGGUAGGGUUGGUGCCGGGGAGGGCUCUCCCCUCGGGAGGCGGACAGCUGCCUUCUCGCUGUCCCCCACGUGGCCACGUCUCCCGCGUGGAGCCAGAGCGCUCUGCUCUCUUGUGAGGACACUAAGGCCGUCAGGUCAGAGCCGCACUCUUCGGACCUCCCCUCCCUCCUCUCAGUACUGCCUUCGAGGCCCUGUCUCCAGAUGCGGCCUCACUGGGUUGAGGCUUCACCAUAGGGGUUGCAGGGCGGGCAGUUGAGUCUGUGACCUGUGAGCACACAGCUUCACACAGGUGGGUACCGCUGCGUGGAUAUUUGUUGCUUUGAAUGGGAAAGAUCUCAGAUGAAGACGGAAUUGGCCCCAAAGGCUGUGGCCAAAUCCUGAAGACCAAGGGGCCCCGGGGAGCGGUGUGCGUUCGGGAAGGCUUGUCCUAACGCUCAGCCCGUGUCGGGUGUCAGGUGGUGACGACAUCCCUCCACCCUUGAAUCGGAGCCUCUCCAGACCCCCUGGUCUCUGGCCGCCUGACCUCCUGACCUUCUUGGGGAAAUGGAAGAGUUGCCACGUUUGGCCGAGGUGAGGGAACAGGACUAACGGGGCACCCGCUGUGGCUCUCAGGCUCUCGGUUCAUGAUGACGCCUUGACUCUGACUAAUUAACUCCAGGGAGGCUCGGGGUUUGUUUCCCGACCAGCAUGUUGAAGAGCGCCCGGCACAGAGGAGGUGCUUCCUGAAUGGGUGUUGACUGGGUGCGGCCCUAAUUCAGAGAGCCACAGGGUGCCACGCUUCACACACUCGCAAGGUGGCCUUAGGCCGGCAGGGCUGCUGUCCCUGCUGGUAGGUGAGGACACCGAGGUGCAGAGGGGACCGGUGACUUGAGUAGAUGACCCAGUGAGGAACCCUGGGCCCUGCUGGUCUCGGUCGGGGGGCGGGGGGAACAUGGGGGCAAGUCCCAGGGGACCAGGCUGGUGGACCUGCAGAUACCAGGCUUAUGCCCCCACCUGGCGGUUGCGCCUUUCUGGCCGGCGGGGAGAGGCCCACUGCCAGGUGCCCCUGGCUUCAGGCUGCAGGGACGGACAACGGGAGAAGGUCUCCUCUGGGUCUCCAUGGCUGGCCCAGGACAGGAGUUUCCUGAGUGAGUAGAUGGGGGGGCAUAUGUUACCCACCCUCACGGGUUUAAAUCAAUGCCAUUUCUACGCAGCUAGUUGCCCUGUCACUCCUGUGGCCCCUGACAUUCCUUCUGAGGUGCCUUCUUCUUUUAUUAGUGUGGCUAAUUAAUGCGUGACAUUAAAAUAUUGACAUGAAUUGAUUUGGGUAUCUGGAUCCUUGGAGCUUCGGUUCAUAAAACAACAUUUGAUAAGACUAGUGGUUUUAGAACAUUUGGACUUCAUUAUAUUUUCUGAAGGAUUUUUCUAGAAUCACAUAACUGCCUGGCAAGGUACUUCAAUUCCCUAGUUAACUGAGAGAAAUUGGUUUUUCGUUUGGUUUUGCGUAAUACAAAUGAAAAGUAAUAUACAUUUGAUAAAAGCAGUUAAAGGAUUAUUUAUUAAAGUCUCUCUCUUUAUGUAUUGGGGGAAAAAAAAAUCCACGAGAGCAGAAUUAAUUUUGCGGCUGAUGCGAGGAGCGCCUGGCAGUGGGAGCGCAGUCUGGCCUGGAGGCAGGGCCUCUCCGCUUAGAGCUUCCUUUGUGAUCGCUCCUCGGGAGCGCCCGCGCGCUUCUCCUUUGAGUUUCUGCUGUGCGCUGGAGGGGCUGCUCCUUGUGCAUCUCAAUUUCAGCCUCAGCAAGUCGUAAGUGAUGACAGUAUUGGAAGUGGGAGCGCGGAGGAGAAUUCAGGUGUUUCAUCCUCGUCUCACUCAGGUUAGGAAGCCUGCCAGAGGUAGCAGUUUGGAAAGAAAGAGAGAAAGACAUGAAAUGAAAAGGAAAGUAUCUUUUGGAGACACUGGGAAGAAGAUGCGAUAAGUCAGUGGAUAUUAUUACCUUGCUCCACGAGUCAACUCCUCUCAUUAGUGGUGUUGUGGAAAGCUGACUGUCACCAGGCCAAAACCACUCCAAAGCACAACCUGCCAAGAGACCCUGCAAAUAACUCCACCAAAUUUACUAGCC
rnacentral:lncRNA from 1 species